AUGUGUAUAGAACUAGCAAAGGUAGAGAUGCUGAAAAUUUCUGCUGAGGAAUGUUCAAAAUCCAGACUGGAAUACUCUAGAUUCUUAUGAGAAAUGCAUCAUGUACAUUAUUACAAAUGACACAAUUUACCAGAUUGAUGCCUAAAGCAGACAGAUGGUUAGUUUAACAAAUUAUGGAGCUGAUCUGUGUUGUAAGUUACGAUGAAAAAUGGUGCAUGGUUUUUAACUCUAGCAUGAAGAAGGAAAAUGACAUAUACAAACUCCUGAUUUUAAUACAUGCAUCCCUUUAUGGCCAUUUUUCUACUCUAUCAACCAGUACACAGAUGAUUGGUGUGCAUUUCUUUCUGUAAAAGAUGAUGGACCAUACUUUUGGGGAUAUAUGUACAUCAGUCAGACCGUUCAAAUUGCAGACCCAUUGUGGAUGAAGCAUAGAUUGAACAAUACAAUGAUCGGAUGAUCAUAAUCAUCCAAUUGAAAAUAAUCAGUUGGUAUAGUCAAUGAGUGAAUUCAGAUGGUUAAGAUUCUGAAAUCAGUGUGAAUUUGAGGCUGCAUAUGGGAUGGGUGAACAUGUAAGCACCUACCUGAAUGGGUUUCCAGUGUUCACAAAAAGUGCAAAAUGCAAACUGUAGUGAACUAAUAAAUGCAAAAAUAAGAAACGCAAAGGGCUUGCAUAUAUUGAAAUGGGAAUGUAAACUUCAGGUUCCUAAAAAAUUGAUCUUCCUAGUUCCCCUUGGAGGACUGCUAUUUGCAGUUGUGUAUCGGCAUAUGAACACAGGCUGUACAAGUAGGCACACGUGUGAGAUCUGGGCUUUUCAUUAGGUGGGCCUGUGGCAUAUACUUCUUAUUGGAAUCGGUAAGUUCACUCAUCAUGCAGAGAAGUGGUUGGGACAAGGAUAGCUAAAGUCAGAAGUCUACACCAGCAGCAUCAACAUGGCUAGCGUGUGCCAGAUCCAAGCAUUUCAUAGGGUUCCUCAUGGUGAAUAUCCUUAGUCAAUUAUGGCCAGUCCAUUCAUAAUAUGGGCCACACUUGAGCGAAAAGAUAGACAUUUAGAGCAAGGAUAACUAUUGGCCCAGAUUCACACGUAUUUGCACCUGAUUAACUAGAUCACCUGAUUUACAGGAUAGGACACAUCAAAGAGCACACCUUGUUUAGGAUGUCACAUCUAUGCGGUUGGGCAUGUAUGGUCAUUUUAGAAUUGGCACAUCUCAUUUUGAAAAAGAUGCAUGAUAUGCAGCCUUCUCAUCAGUGGAAUCACUGUUUGAUAAUCUAGACCAUUGAUCUGUUACAUCCCACCUCGGAUUGUCUAUUCCUCCAAACAGCCUUAACCUUUCAAUUUGUGGGCUACAUAUAGAUGGUUAAGGAGCAACGACCAUGCGAUGCAUUAAAGUGGAAAAAUCAUUGGGAUCUUAUAUUACGGGAGAUUUUUGUGGCAUGUGGGACUGAACCGACCAAUUAUACGGAUUACAAAGCCAUCGGGUCCCACUGGUCAGAACUGGCAACAUUCACAUCCUGUCCGAAGGACUCUAUGAGGAAGAGCCUUGUUUCUGCAUUUAUCCCCUCAUGGCAAACAACCCCCGCAACUUCUUAAGAGCACUCAGUUCUUACAAGCUAGAGUAUCGGAUGCUCUUACUGCUCUACCUAACACUGUAUUGUUGCCUAGUACCUAUGAUUUGGAUACAUCUAGGAUUGGCUUGUCUUGGAUUUGCGUUGGAGAAGGGAAGGAAAAAAGAAAAAGAAAAAGAAA